GUCAUACAUUACGAGUACACCCCUCUCCAGCCCACAGGGUGUCUCUGGAGUGACAGGCCACAUAAGAAGCCACCUAGUCCGUAGCCUUGUUGGCAUCUCUAAAUACAUGUUUAGCCUGAAAGGCCAUUCCAUUUCUCACCAUCGCCCAAAUAUCCUGAAGCAGGGGGUGUCCCCUCCACCACCGCUCGGGCCCUCUGGAUCCAGUUGAUCAUGAUAGCCAAGUCGCCCUCUAAUAUAAUCAAGCUGGUCUGUAGCACUCGCCGAGCAUGACUCAGGCCGGCCCAAGCCACCUGCAACUCUGCUCUAGAACUGAGGUGUUGAAGAUCUGGUAGCCACCAACAACUACCACCCUAGAGUUCAGGCCUCUGAUAGCAAACCCAGCACCUCCUCU
rnacentral:lncRNA from 1 species